UGCUGCAGGCUGUGGUUUGGUGCCAUGGAUGGCACAGAGGCUGGGUGAGGGGCAGUCCCAGAGCACCUUCAUUCUCCUCCUGCAGAUGAGCAGAACACUCCAGAUAGCACUGUGGGAUGAAGGGCUUUGCUGCCCACUGCUCCAAGGUGCCCGACCAGCUGCUGGGACAGCCAGGAAGAGAGCCUGCAAGGUGGCCAUUGCUGUGCAGUAGAAGAUUGUCAACCAUUGUUACUGUGGAAACCUUUGAAAAUAUGCUCCAUGAUAAAUUGGAUCUAGUGGCACCAAGGAAUCCCGAGCCUUCACGUGAUGUCUGCAGUUUGGACAGGAAAGGAAGUGAGAUAUAACACCUGCAAGGUGCUGUGAUGCUCAGCAGUGGUUGUCAGUGCUGUUAGAAAUGUGCCAUGAAGCUCAAGCAAAGGGCAAGGAGUGAACAGCAAACUUAUUCUGAUGGAUGGAGGAAAUUUGAAUCUGAACUUCAAAUGAAUGCUCCUUGUGUCCCUGCUUCCUCCUGGACUCAUGCAGAGAAGCCACUCCCUUGUCCCUUUUGAGGGUCGCAAAUAGCACCCACAGC